AAGGAAGAAGGAAAAAGGAGCAUGAAGAAGUCAGAAGAAGAAGGAAGAAGGAGGAAGAAGAAGGAGGAGGAAGAAGAAGGAAGAGGUGGAAGACGAAGGAGGAGGAGGAAGACGAAAAGGGGUGAAUUUAACCUCGAAUGCACGAUCCACAUCAUUUACACAGUUCAACUUACCACUUUAUUGAAUCUAAAAUUUCAUUGAUUUAAGCUGCAGCGACAUUUCUGAAAUAUAGGGUGUCAUUUUUCUCUGCUCAGUUAGUUCUAGAGUGCUAUUCUCUUUCAUUCAAUUUUGUGCUUUUGGAAAUCAAAUUGGAUAUUUUAUUUGGAAAUCGUAUUCCAUGUUAGUAUUUUUCAUCAUAUAUUAAUAGUGUUUUUAAAUUCAAUUUUUUUUAGAUUCGUAAUUGAACUCUACUGUAUGUGUUGUUGUUAGGGCGGUGUUUUAUUUCUUCGCGGGCCAGGCGAACUUUGUCUCGCCCCUAAUUGUUCUUUUAUAUAGUUCUAGAGUACUAAUCUGUUUCAUUCAAUUUUGUGCUUUUGAAAAUUAAAUUUGAUAUUUUAUUUGGAAAUCGUAUUCCAUGUAAGUAUUUUGCAUUAUAUAUUUAUAGUGUUAGUCGUGCCUUAAAUUUCAUCAUACAGCAAAUAAAAUGCCACGACCAAGGCGUACUAAUAUUAGUCGCCGUACACGUAAUGCUUAUACUUUAAGGUCGAAUAGAACAUUGCAAAGUGAGGAAGAGCGCAAAUUAAUGUAGAUAGAAGAGAUCGAUAUGCACGAAAUCGAAACUCACCUAAUCGAUCUCUUGAUAGGCAGCCACCUCGAAAUCGGCCAAUGCGAGCGGGAGUUCGUGUUUUGCAGCAAACGCUCCUUGCUGAUUUUAGUUACGAUAGUGCGAUUGAUUACAGUUCAUAUUGGUGAAUUGACGGUGAGAUGUGCACAUUGUGGUGCAGCCAAAUUUCCAAAUGAAACAGAUGGCAUGUGCUGUGCUAACGGCAAAGUGAAAUCGCCAACAUUUGAAUCUCCACCCGAUCCACUACGUUCGCUGAUUUUUGGAAUGGUAUCAACGUCGACAAAUUUUUGUUCUCAUAUUCAAGAAUACAAUGCAUCAUUUCAAAUGGCUUCUUUUGGUGCGACAAAAAUUGUAAGAGACAAUUUUAUGCUGACGUUCAAGAUUCAGGGUCAGAUUUACCACCGCGCUGGCUCAUUAUUACCAUUUCCUGAUACCGACCAUGAAUUCUAACAAAUCUAUUUCGUUGGAAAUGAAAAUCGCGACAAAUUGUUUCUGAGCUUCAAACAUUUUUUCUUCAACACAGUUCGAUUAUUUAAAAUCGCUCUCGAUCGUAUGCCAUCGGAUAACCACGAAAUCAUCAUAAAAGCCGAUAGAACACCCAUCGGAGAGCAUGCAAGACGAUUUAAUGCACCGACAAUCGAUUACAAUAGCCAGUAAUUGUUGGGGACCAGUUUCAAUCUCGCGAUAUCGUGCUACAUCGAAGAAAUUACAGCGUGUUUCAGAGCUUCACCGCAUCUAUGAUGCAUUACAAUAUCCAUUAUUGUACUGGAAAGGUGAUACCGCCUAUAAUAUCAAUAUACCAAUGAUACAUCCACAAACCGUGGGGCCUCGUGGUGUAGUGGAUAGCGCAACUACCUGCUAAAAAACGGGGGCACCCUGUUGACAUGUACGCAAAAAUAGAACGUCUGAAUUACCUUCGAUGCAAUCAAGCAAAUUUACGAUCGGAAGAAUAUAUACAUUUGCGAGAUGCAAUAGUGAAUGAUGGUAAUGCAAAUGAUAUCGGACGUUUAACAAUAUUACCAUCCACAUAUGUAUGUCGGCAGUCCGCGCCACAUGCAUGAAUACACGCAAGAUGCAAUGUCAUGUCAUCAUACGUUCGCAAAUAUGGUCGACCAGACUUGUUUAUAACAUUUACAUGCAAUCCACAGUGGGCGGAUAUAAAUGAUAAUUUAUUUGUUGGUCGAAAACCAAUUGAUCGGCACGAUAUAACUACGCGUGUAUUUCAAUAGAAAUUAAAGGCAUUGAUAGAUUUGAUUGUCAAAUUUAAAAUAUUUGGAGACGUGCGUUGCUAGAUGUAUUCGAUUGAAUGGCAAAAACGAGGGCUACCGCACGCACACAAGGGAACAAGAGAAGCGACAUGGCUGUUUGUGGAGUAACUGGUGACAAUAGAUAUGAUAAAAUUUCACAAUAUCAAAUGGGACGUUACAUUAGCACUAAUGAAGCUCUUUGGAGAAUUUAUUAAUUUCCAAUGCAUGAGCGAUAUCCUGCUGUUUCUUUGGGCUGUUCAUUUGAAAAAUGGACAACGUGUUUAUUUUACUAAUUCAAAUGUGGAGCAGAGAGCGGCACAGCCACCAGCAACAACAUUAACUGCAUUCUUCCAAUUGUGUGAAAGUGAUGAAUUUGCAGGAACAUUGCUGUAUUCGGACGUACCACACAACGACGUAAAAGAGGAGCCCCAGUUGAUGGUCAUCCAGGCGUUUUAUAUGAAGACACUACGGAAAGGUUGUACACAGUUCAUCCAAACAACGCAGAGUGCUUUUUUUGCGACUGUUGUUGGUAAACGUUGUAGGACCACGCUCAUUUCAACAUUUGCGAACAGUUAAUGGUCAUUUAUGUCAGACAUAUCGCGAAGCAUGUGACCACUUACAUUUGUUGGAAAAUGAUGCACAUUGGGCUUUGACACUUAACGAUGCAUCGAUUUCUUCUUCUCCACAUCAAAUACGUAUGCCAUAAUAUUAUCGACAUGCUUUCCAUCGAAUCCACUUGAUUUGUGGAAUAAAUAUAAAGGUUUAAUGGCCGAAGACUUUUUAAAUCGAAUGCGUCAUCACACCAGAAAUCACGAUUUGCUGAUCUCAUUGGAAAUGUAUAACGAGGCAUUGAUAUCGAUUGAAGAUAUGUGCCUUGCGAUGGCAGAUAAAGCAUUGGGUCAAUUAGGUAUGCCUUCACCGAAUCGUCCAAUGCAUGAUUUGUUUGAUCGAGAAUUGCAACGUGAACAACAGUACAAUAUCAAUGAAUUGUGAAUUGGAAUUUACCCAAAUUGAACGACCAACAAAAACAUUUUUACGAUACCAUUAUGCAAGAAGUACAAAAUGAUGUUGGUGGAUUGUAUUUUUUGGAUGCGCCUGGAGGUACUGGUAAAACAUUUGUGGUAUUAUUGAUUUUGGCAGCCAUUCGGUCACAACAAAAAAUUGCAUUGGCACUUGCUACUUUAUUGGAUGGUGGACGAACAGCACACUCAGCAUUAAAAUUGCCGUUAAAUGUGCAGGUGAUUGACAAUCCCACAUGCAACAUAUCAAGAAAUUCUGCAAUGGCAAAAGUUUUGCAGCAAGCAGCAAUUAUUCUAUUGGAUGAAUGUACAAUGCAAUGAACAAUGCAAGAUCUACGUCGCAAUCAACAAAUUAUUGGUGGUGCACUAAUAUUUUUGUCAAGAGAUUUCCGACAAACAUUGCCCGUCAUUCCACGUGCAACGUUAGCGGAUCAGGUCAAUGCGUGCUUGAAGUAUUAUUUCCUGUGGCGAUAUGUCUAAUGAUCAAUCUGCAGAACGGUUUUCGAAGCAAUUAUUAGAAAUCGGAAGUGGCAAAGUUCCAAAUACAAAUGGCUUGAUCACUUUGCCAAAAAAUUUUUGUACAAUUCUACAAUCUAAAGGCGAAUUAAUAGAAAGCGCUUUUCCAAAUAUAAUUCAAAAUCACAGAAAUCACGAUUGGUUGACAGAACGAGCAAUAUUGUCACCAAAAAAUGUACAUGUCAAUGAAAUCAAUUUUCACAUUCAAGAAAAAUUGCCAGGCGCACUGACAUCAUAUAAAUCAUAUAAAUCUUUAAAUAGCGCAAUGAAAGAAGAUGAUGCAGUGAAUUAUCCAGUUGAAUUUUCAAAUUCCCUAGAACCGCCUGAUAUGCCACCGCAUUUUUGUACUUAAAAAUCGGCUCAUCAAUUAUUUUACUACGGAAUUUAAAUGCACCAAAAUUGUGGAAUGGCAAGAUUGGUUGUAAAAAAAUUGAUGCCGAAUUUAAUUGAAGCCACGAUAUUGACUGGAAUAGCGAAUGGAGGAAUGGUGCUCAUACCGCGUAUUCCGUUGAUACCAACAGACAUGCCGUAUGAAUUUAAGCGACUGCAAUUCCCAGUGCGUCUAUCAUUUGCCAUGUCCAUCAAUAAGGCACAAGGGCAAACGCUUCAAGUAUGCGGGUUAUAUUUGGAAGAGCCGUGUUUUUCUCAUGGGCAGCUAUGGCAUUCCAAACUCUUUAUUUGUAUUCGCUCCAAAUGGACAAACGAAAAAUAUAGUUUAUCCAAAUGUUUUGGAUUGAAAAUAACAAUUUUCCAAUAAAAUAAAUGACUUUCAUAAAACAAAUUCUAGGAAUUUUUCAUUGAAUUUUAAGACUGCAUGCGGCGAAGCGCAUAGGGCCCACUAGUAAGAAAAUAAAACUAAACAUAUUUCGUCUAGGUAUUAUACCCGUUAGUCGUAGAGUAAAAUACGAUACUUGAUUCUAUCGGUAUGCGAAAAAUGUCUUUACCACUCUAACGCCUAAAAAUCGCCCAUGUAUUUGGAAAAAGACUUAAAAAUGUUUUUUUGGGAAUAAGUUUUGAUCGGAGCAUUGGAUCUCAUUUUAUUCUGUCAGAUGCUUUUGCACUUUUCGACUUUGAAAUAAAAAAUAGAUUGCAUUUUAAGGGUCGACACUUCAGACUAUUGGAAUGUUUUGCUUUAGUGCUGGUUGGUUCCAUUUAAAAAAGAGCUAUUAUGAUAAAUUAUGCAAGAAUUUAUGAGAGAUAUGGGCUUUGCUUUAAUU